GGAGGCAUAGCUCAGUUGGUUAGAGCACCUGCCUUACAAGCAGGGGGUCACUGGUUCGAGUCCAGUUGUCUCCACCA
rnacentral:tRNA from 1 species